ensembl:rRNA 5S_rRNA 5S ribosomal RNA
GUCUAUGGCCAUGCUACCCUGAACAAGUUCAAUCCCGUCUGAUCUUGGAAGCUAAGCAGGGUUGGGACCAGUUAGUACUUGGAUGAGCGACCGCUUAGGAAGACCAGCUGCUGUAAGCA